AGUUCCGACCUGCACGAAUGGCGUAACGACUUCCCCGCUGUCUCCAGCAUAGACUCAGUGAAAUUGAAUUCCCCGUGAAGAUGCGGGGUUCCUGCGGUCAGACGGAAAGACCCCGUGCACCUUUACUGUAGCUUUGCGCUGGCAUUCGUGUCGGCAUGUGUAGGAUAGGUGGUAGGCUUUGAAGCAUGGGCGCCAGCCUGUGUGGAGCCAUCCUUGAAAUACCACCCUUGUAGAUAUGGUUGUCUAACCGCGGCCCA
rnacentral:rRNA from 1 species